CAAUUUUAUUAUUUGAUUUGUUUACUAUUAUUAUUAUAUUUUAAAUUAUCAAAUAUUUUAUAUUUAAAGGGAUAAGCUUUUAAAUAGAAUUUUAAAAAUUUUAUUGGUUUAAUUGUUAGUGUAAUUAGAAUUGUUAAUCUUUAAUAUAAUUUUAUAUUUAUUAUUUAUUUUAUAAUAAUUUGUAUUGGUUUUAAAUUUUUUACUUAAAUUAGGUUUUUAACAUUAAAAAUUUUAUUAUAAUGAUAAAAUUAGUAAAUAUAAUUGUAGACUUUUUUUCAAGGAAAGUUUAAGGGAAGGAAUUCGGCAAACUAAUUUUUCGCCUGUUUAAUAAAAACAUGUCCUUUUGAUAAUAAUUUAAGGUCUAAUCUGCUCAAUGAUUAUUUAAAUAGCCGCAGUAUUUUAACUGUGCAAAGGUAGCAUAAUAAUUAGUCUCUUGAUUAGGGGCUUGUAUGAAUGAUUGGACGAGAAAAUUUCUGUCUCCUUUUAAUUGUUUUUUGAAUUUUAUUUUUAAGUCAAAAAGCUUAAAUUUUUAUAAAAGACGAGAAGACCCUAUAGAGUUUUAUAUCUUUAAUUUAUUGGUGUUUAGAAAUUUCUUUAUUUUAUGGGUAUUUAGUUGGGGUGACUUGGAGAUAUAAUAAAUUCUCUAAAUAUUUAAUUGAUGAUUUUUAAAUUGAAAAUCUAGUUUUUUAAAUUUAAAAUUAAUUACCUUAGGGAUAACAGCGUAAUUUUUCUUUAAAGCUCUUAUUGAAAGGAAAUUUUGCGACCUCGAUGUUGGAUUAAAAUUAAUUUUUGGUGCAGUAACUUAAAAAUUGGGUCUGUUCGA
rnacentral:rRNA from 1 species